GUCCAGCCUCCCCACUCCUCUCAGCUACUUCUCUGCUUCAUGACGUGUGUUGUUUCCAGCUCCUGCAGUUGGUGGAUUAAACCAUCUCCUUGAAGUUCAUCGGAGAGAUGGAUGCUUUUACUUAAUAGGUAAAGGAAAGAGAACCAGGGACUAAUCUUCUAAUUCCUCAAUAGUCACCAGGUUUCAUCCACAUCAGAGCUCUCUCCACUCCCUCAAGGAAGAGUACCAGCCACCAGGUUCCAGAUGCUACCAUGAUGCCAACCUGAUUUCGCUGGCCAGAGGACAACACCAUGUGUCUUGGAGCCCUGACUACCGAGAUCCCCGUCCCACUAGGGAAAGAGAGAGACAGGCUGGAUCUACCUGAAAACACCCAGGUUCAAUGGAGAAGCAAUUAUAGAACCCAGCCAUUACACCUUCUGUACCCCAAAAUGAUCCUGGGUCCAUGCUCUCAGAGAGAGAAAGAAUAGGGAGGCUAUCAAGGGAGAGGAUUGGAUAUGGAGCUCUGGGGGGUGGGUAUGAUAUGGAAAUU